rnacentral:rRNA from 1 species
GUAGUCUCGCACAGAUGCAUAUCAAUAAGCGGAGGAAAAGAAACUAACAAGGAUUCCCCUAGUAACGGCGAGUGAAGCGGGAAGAGCUCAAAUUUGAAAUCUUAAAGGGUUUCCCUUUACGAAUUGUAGUUUAAAGAAGUGUUUUCUGUUGAGGUUUUGGUAAAAGUUCUUUGGAAUAGGACAUCAUAGAGGGUGAGAAUCCCGUAUUUGACCUUUACUUUCAACUUUGUGAUACACUUUCAAAGAGUCGGAUUGUUUGGGAAUGCAGUCCAAAAUGGGUGGUAAAUUUCACCUAAAGCUAAAUAUUGGCGAGAGACCGAUAGCGAACAAGUACCGUGAGGGAAAGAUGAAAAGAACUUUGAAAAGAGAGUUAAACAGUACGUGAAAUUGUCAAAAGGGAAGCGUUUGACACCAGUGUUGUUUUUCUGAAAAUCAAUUAAAGAACUGUUUAUGCUAGGCUGUUUAGACUUUAUCAGCUAAUCUGUUUAGUUUUGAGCUUUUCUUUAAUGCACUUUUCAGUUAACAAGUCAACAUCAAUUUCUUUUGCUGUAAAAAAGCUUGAGGAAGGUGGCUUGAGAUUCGUCUUAAGUGUUUAUAGCCUCUUGCCUAUGCAGUCGGAGAGAUUGAGGUCUGCAGCGUAGAUCCUUCGGGGCUAAAUGCAUUUGUGCUAAGUUAUAGCAUUUUAUAGACAACUUGUUGACUAUGAUUUGUCUUGUAGCUUACUCGCUUAUGUUAUUUUACCUACGCUUAGGAUGUUGAGUAGCGACAUACGCAC